AACGUAGGGGGCAAGCGUUAUCCGGAUUCACUGGGCGUAAAGCGCAUGCAGGUGGCACAGUAAGUAGGGCAUGAAAACUCCUGGCUUAACUGGGAGAGGCUGUCCUAGACUGCUGAGCUUGAGGAUGGGAGAGGGAAGUGGAAUUGCCGGUGUAGUGGUGAAAUGCGUAGAGAUCGGCAGGAACACCCGUGGCGAAAGCGGCUUCCUGGCCCAUUCCUGACACUCAGAUGCGAAAGCUAGGGGAGCGAACGGG
rnacentral:rRNA from 1 species